rnacentral:tRNA from 1 species
GGAAAGAUGCCAGAGCGGUUGAAUGGGGCGGUCUCGAAAACCGUUGUAGACAAGCGUCUACCGAGGGUUCGAAUCCCUCUCUUUCCGC